rnacentral:piRNA from 1 species
UGAGAAUUUACAUCCAGAUACAGCACACU